CCUACGGGUGGCAGCAGUGGGGGAUAUUGCACAAUGGGGGGAACCCUGAUGCAGCGACGCCGCGUGAAGGAAGAAGUAUCUCGGUAUGUAAACUUCUAUCAGCAGGGAAGAAAAUGACGGUACCUGACUAAGAAGCCCCGGCUAACUACGUGCCAGCAGCCGCGGUAAUACGUAGGGGGCAAGCGUUAUCCGGAUUUACUGGGUGUAAAGGGAGCGUAGGCGGCAGUGCAAGUCAGAAGUGAAAGCCCGGGGCUCAACUCCGGGACUGCUUUUGAAACUGUACAGCUUGAUUGUCGGAGAGGUAAUCGGAAUUCCUUGUGUAGCGGUGAAAUGCGUAGAUAUAAGGAAGAACACCAGUGGCGAAGGCGGAUUACUGGACGAUAACUGACGGUGAGGCGCGAAAGCGUGGGGAGCAAACAGGAUUAGAUACCCUUGUAGUC
rnacentral:rRNA from 1 species